UGUGGAUAUGUCAAAAUGUACUCUGCUUUGAUUCAUUCAUCCGGUUCAUUAAGCACCAUGCUGAGCAAGGCUUUGGUAAUGGUGAUAAAGUAAAAAUACCAAAACAAACAAACAAGGAGCGUCUCUCUGAGAAGGGAUUGUUUCAGUGAGACAAAGAUAACCCAGAUCUGACUGGAGUAAGUUCAGGAGAGAAUGGCAAAUCCGAAAAUAGAGGUGGAAAUAAAAGAAACCCUCUCUGCCCUUUGCAGUAAGGCAAACAGCAGCUGAAGAGACAUGGAGUCAAGAAGCUCUUGCUUUGUUGCACAAUGGGAAUGAGGAAGAUGCAGUAGAGAGAAAGAUUGAUGCAGGAUUUAAUCAGUGAACCUGAGACAAACAGCUACAGCUUCACAGGAACACUGUUGUUGUAAAGGUCUUAUGCAUUGCAGAGAAGUUGAAGCCGUUCAACAAUUAGCGUCCCUAUUCCGAGAAGUGAAAUUUGGUGGCGUGAGUAGGAAAAAACAACACGGAAAUAAGAAAGACCCACGAUGGCCAUUUAGAGCACAAUGAGACCUUGUUUACUCGACGACGUGGACUCCAGCGUUCCCUUGAAAAAACGCAAGUGAUUAAGAAAAUACUUUGAGAACCUAAUAAUAGUGCCCUGAAAUCUGAGAGCCACUUCUCAUCUUUCUGAGGCUCAGGAACAUGCUUAA